rnacentral:rRNA from 1 species
GACGAACGCUGGCGGCGUGCUUAACACAUGCAAGUCGAGCGGUAAGGCCCUUCGGGGUACACGAGCGGCGAACGGGUGAGUAACACGUGGGUGAUCUGCCUCGCACUCUGGGAUAAGCCUGGGAAACUGGGUCUAAUACCGGAUAUGACCACGAAUCGCAUGGUUUGUGGUGGAAAGGUUUACUGGUGCGAGAUGGGCCCGCGGCCUAUCAGCUUGUUGGUGGGGUAACGGCCUACCAAGGCGACGACGGGUAGCCGGCCUGAGAGGGCGACCGGCCACACUGGGACUGAGACACGGCCCAGACUCCUACGGGAGGCAGCAGUGGGGAAUAUUGCACAAUGGGCGAAAGCCUGAUGCAGCGACGCCGCGUGAGGGAUGACGGCCUUCGGGUUGUAAACCUCUUUCGACAGGGACGAAGCGCAAGUGACGGUACCUGUAGAAGAAGCACCGGCCAACUACGUGCCAGCAGCCGCGGUAAUACGUAGGGUGCGAGCGUUGUCCGGAAUUACUGGGCGUAAAGAGCUUGUAGGCGGUCUGUCGCGUCGAUCGUGAAAACGUGCAGCUCAACUGCGCGCCUGCGGUCGAUACGGGCAGACUAGAGUACUUCAGGGGAGACUGGAAUUCCUGGUGUAGCGGUGAAAUGCGCAGAUAUCAGGAGGAACACCGGUGGCGAAGGCGGGUCUCUGGGAAGUAACUGACGCUGAGAAGCGAAAGCGUGGGUAGCGAACAGGAUUAGAUACCCUGGUAGUCCACGCCGUAAACGGUGGGUACUAGGUGUGGGUUUCCUUCCACGGGAUCCGUGCCGUAGCUAACGCAUUAAGUACCCCGCCUGGGGAGUACGGCCGCAAGGCUAAAACUCAAAGGAAUUGACGGGGGCCCGCACAAGCGGCGGAGCAUGUGGAUUAAUUCGAUGCAACGCGAAGAACCUUACCUGGGUUUGACAUACACCGGAAAGCCGUAGAGAUACGGCCCCCCUUGUGGUCGGUGUACAGGUGGUGCAUGGCUGUCGUCAGCUCGUGUCGUGAGAUGUUGGGUUAAGUCCCGCAACGAGCGCAACCCUUAUCUUAUGUUGCCAGCGCGUAAUGGCGGGGACUCGUGAGAGACUGCCGGGGUCAACUCGGAGGAAGGUGGGGACGACGUCAAGUCAUCAUGCCCCUUAUGUCCAGGGCUUCACACAUGCUACAAUGGCCGGUACAGAGGGCUGCGAUACCGCGAGGUGGAGCGAAUCCCUUAAAGCCGGUCUCAGUUCGGAUCGGGGUCUGCAACUCGACCCCGUGAAGUUGGAGUCGC